UACGUAGGGGGCUAGCGUUGUCCGGAUUUAUUGGGCGUAAAGAGCGUGUAGGCGGCCAGGUAGGUCUGGUGUGAAGACUCGAGGCUUAACCUCGAGAUGUCAUCGGAAACCAUCUGGCUAGAGUCCGGAAGAGGAGAGUGGAGUUCCUGGUGUAGCGGUGAAAUGCGCAGAUAUCAGGAGGAACACCGGUGGCGAAGGCGGGUCUCUGGGCCGAUACUGACGCUGAGGAGCGAAAGCGUGGGGAGCAAACAGG
rnacentral:rRNA from 1 species